UACGAAGGGGGCUAGCGUUGCUCGGAUUGACUGGGCGUAAAGGGCGCGUAGGCGGUUCGUACAGUCAGACGUGAAAUUCCUGGGCUCAACCUGGGGGCUGCGUUUGAUACGUGCGGACUUGAGUGCGGAAGAGGGUCGUGGAAUUCCCAGUGUAGAGGUGAAAUUCGUAGAUAUUGGGAAGAACACCGGUGGCGAAGGCGGCUCACUGGCUCAUUACUGACGCUCAGGCGCGAUAGCGUGGGGAUCAAACAGG
rnacentral:rRNA from 1 species